rnacentral:piRNA from 1 species
UAGCAUCUCUAUUGACUAACGUCUGACCUA